rnacentral:lncRNA from 1 species
CGAAACAAGGAAACAGAAACGACUUUACUUUCAUCUCAAGCAACACCAAGAUUAGGGUUUCCCUCAUGAAGACAUUGAUUUUCAAUCAAAACCGAGCUAUUAUUUAUUUUAUUUUACUUUUCGGAUUUUUGAUACUGUUUAGUCAAAGCAAAGAGAGUGAGAGAGCUUGCCAUGAUUCCGGGGACGGCAGGAGGGAUUCUGUUGCGGAGGAGCUUGAGGGUGUAGGAGGCAACUUGUUCAGGAGUAGCUCUGUCUUUAGACUCAGCUCCGGGGGUCACCAUGCUCGGUUUCAGGAGGAUACCUGUGUGUAAGAUUAUGUUGAGCUUAUCAAGUAUAUACGUUGAUCAUUUUUAUGACGAUGCAAGUUGUAUAAUAAAGAUAGUCUUCAAAUAAUUAACGAAAAUACCUUCAAACAUAACAUUGUUCUGAGCAAGGUAGAAGAAAACCUCAGCCCAAACCUUCUCCGCUACUUCGUAAGUCCUGUCAAUGUCGUGUUCUCCAUCCAACAAGAUCUCUGGCUCCACAAUUGGAACUAGUCCACUGUCCUGAAAAGACAAAAAAAAAAAAAAAAGAAAAAAAAAACUCAAUAUAUAUCGCGUGUGAAACAGCUUAAAAGAAUCCGAAUUGACCUGUUACUUGAAGGACAAGCUAUGUGUUUUACCUGAGAAAUGGCAGCGUAUCGAGCAAGACCCCAAGCAGCUUCUUUUACGGCGAGAGCAGACGGACCGUUAGGAAUGCUCACGACAGUACGCCUAAUCAACCACCAACCAAGACGGAAAAAAAAUUAAAAAAAAAAUCACUAUAAAUUCUGCCCGAGAGGAAUAUUUUCAGGUAGGAACAGAACAGAGAUUACAACUCUAUACCAUUUGGCGAAACGAGCACCCUGUUGGUAGUAAGCAGCGGUUCGAGAGGAUAGACCGUCGAGUCCUUGGCACCAUGACUCAUUGUUAGAGCCAACAAGGGGCACCAAACCCUAAUUCCAUACACAUACAAUUCGUUUAGAUAUCUCUAACUUAAGCACCAUGUGGGGGUAUAUACUCUGUAAGGCUAUCUAAUAUAUAUAGUAUACCUUGUCGACUUUGAUGCCGGGGACAAUAUUCUGCUCGACAAGGACGUCGACCAUUUUCUUGCCUUCGGUGGUAGACUGAUACAGAGUCUCCUCGAACAGGAUUGCCCCGGAGAUGUACUGUCCAAGUCCCGGUGCAGAGACCAACAAUGUCCUGUAAGCUUGACGGUUUGCCUCAGUGUUCUCUAGCCCUAUCGAGUCCAAACGCUUCCCGCAAGUCGCAUUCGACUCGUCCAUCGCCAAGAUUCCGCGUCCCGGAGACGCAAUUGUUUUC